ACUAGCCCACUAAUCCUUACUUGCCAUGAAUAUCGAGAGUCAUAGAUUGAGUCACCCCCUUUUUAAUAAAGAGGAUCCAUACGAGAUCCAGACGGGGUGCCUAACCGUAUAAACGACGUAAGAAGCUAAAAAUUCAUGGUGGUUUCCAGCCAAAUUAGCAUAUAGAGAGUAUGGAUUUGAGGAAGUGUCGCGAUCGAAUGGAGGAUUUGAGGAGGUUGGACCUAUUUUCUACGAGAGCUCGGAAAGAGAAAAGGAGAUAGAAAGAGGAAAAGAGGAAGCUUAAAACACAGAAUGCGAAAGUAAAGAAACUGGAAGAGAAGGUUGAACAUUAGACACACUAGUUAACUAAUUGCUUCAGAGUCCCGAACCGAAAGAAGAU
rnacentral:lncRNA from 1 species